AGAGAACAUAGAGGGAAGAAGUUGACUUGUGCUAGACAGUUUGGAAAUAAGACAAGUGAAUGAAGUUGUAGGAUUUCCAGUCUGUGGAAGCAUGUACCUCCGAAAAUGCCUGUCUGCUUUAGGGGAUUGAACCAUGUUGAUGAGAUUUCUGGUUUCAAGAACCAGAAAGGAGAGGCCAAGCAAGCUGAGAUGUUGAGGAGGCACCUGGAGGAGUUGUGUCUGCCCAACCUGCCUGUGCCCAGGCAGGAGUAAUUCAUGCUGUUAUGAGGCUUGGUGUGAAGCUGCAUAUCCUGUACUUAGUACAUGGUGAGCACUGAGCCACUGCCACUAAUUGUCCCUCCUGCAGAAGAAGUGACUGUGGCUAGAUCCUCUUCUUGUUAUUGGGAUAAAGACUCAAUCCUGUCUGGUGAUUUCCGGCUCUUUUUUUGGAUUCUGUGGAAUAAAGGAACAAAAGGCUGAGUCUCCAGGAAUAACUCCCAGAACUCUGCAGGACUGGCCCACCAGGGGAGCCACUAUCUUUGCUAUGUGCAGGAAGGCCAGGAGCCACCAAUGGAGCAGCUGUGAUUAAAAAUUGCUGGAGCUGUUAGCCUGGAAUCAGGAAGCUUCCACUGGCAAAACUGGAAGAAAACUAUUUCUGAGAAACAUCCCACCAGGAUCCCCGUUAGGUUCUAUUGGCCAGGACAGGGAUGUCCCUAAACUAAAUCAUUAAAGAAUAAUGUUUG